rnacentral:rRNA from 1 species
GAUGAACGCUGGCGGCGUGCCUAAUACAUGCAAGUCGAGCGAACGGACGAGAAGCUUGCUUCUCUGAUGUUAGCGGCGGACGGGUGAGUAACACGUGGAUAACCUACCUAUAAGACUGGGAUAACUUCGGGAAACCGGAGCUAAUACCGGAUAAUAUUUUGAACCGCAUGGUUCAAAAGUGAAAGACGGUCUUGCUGUCACUUAUAGAUGGAUCCGCGCUGCAUUAGCUAGUUGGUAAGUUAACGGCUUACCAAGGCAACGAUGCAUAGCCGACCUGAGAGGGUGAUCGGCCACACUGGAACUGAGACACGGUCCAGACUCCUACGGGAGGCAGCAGUAGGGAAUCUUCCGCAAUGGGCGAAAGCAUGACGGAGCAACGCCGCGUGAGUGAUGAAGGUCUUCGGAUCGUAAAACUCUGUUAUUAGGGAAGAACAUAUGUGUAAGUAACUGUGCACAUCUUGACGGUACCUAAUCAGAAAGCCACGGCUAACUACGUG